rnacentral:rRNA from 1 species
UUUACACAUGCAAGUCGAACGGAAACUUAUGUUUUCGUGGCGAACGGGUGAGUAUAUGCAGAAUUUUUCCUUUCAGUUCAGAACAAAAAUUUCUUUUUAGAAAUUAAAUUCUGAAUAGUUUUAAAGGCUUACAUAUAGUAAUCCGCUGAAAGAUAAAUCUGUUAAAGAUUAGGUUGUUGGUAAUCUAAAAGCUUACCAAGCCGAUGAUCUUUAGUUGGUCUUAGAGGAUGAUCAACCACACUGGAACUGAAAUAAGGUCCAGGCUGACAUGUCGGCCAGCAGUGAGGAAUAUUGGACAAUGAACGAAAGUUUGAUCCAGCAAUACUAACUGGGUGAUGACGGCUUAUUUAAGUUGUAAGAUCCUUUGAUUAAAGAAGAUAAUGACAUUAUUUAAUUGAAUUAGUCCUGGCUAAUACUCGUGCCAGCAGCCGCGGUAAUACGGGAAGGGCAAGCGUUAUCCGGCAUGACUGGGCGUAAAGAGUCCGUAGACUGUAAAGUAAGUUUCUUGUUAAAUUUUAAAAACUUAAUUUUAAAACAGCAAUUAAUACUGCUUUACUUUGAGUUUAAUACAGAAAAGUA